rnacentral:rRNA from 1 species
ACAAGCAAACAAGAGCAUCGGGUGGAUGCCUUGGCGUCGGAAGGCGAUGAAAGACGCGGUAAGCUGCGAUAAGCCUCGGGGAGGAGCUAAACAUCCUUUGAUCCGGGGAUUUCUGAAUGGGGAAACCCGGCGGGAGUCAUGUCCCGUCGCCUGCAGGUGAAUACAUAGCCUGCAAGGAGCCAACUCGGGGAAGUGAAACAUCUCAGUACCCGAAGGAAAGGAAAUCAAACGAGACUCCCUCAGUAGCGGCGAGCGAAGGGGGAAGAGCCCAAACCGUGCGGAUUCGUCCGUGCGGGGUUGUAGGACCGGCAUAAGUGAUUCGCGAGUAGGCAGGGGAAGGAGGCUGGAAAGCCUCGCCAAAGCGGGUGAAAGCCCCGUACCCGAACCUGAAAACGACGCUGCCGGCACCUGAGUACCGCGAGGCACGUGAAACCUCGUGGGAAUCUGGGAGGACCAUCUUCCAAGGCUAAGUACUAACCGACGACCGAUAGUGCACCAGUACCGUGAGGGAAAGGUGAAAAGAACCCCUGUCAGGGGAGUGAAAUAGAAUCUGAAACCUGAUGCUUACAAGCUGUGGGAGCCGGGCAUGCCCGGUGACCACGUGCCUUUUGCAUAAUGAGUCAGCGAGUUGAUCUGUACUGCGAGGUUAAGCGCAAGUGGAGCCGUAGCGAAAGCGAGUCUGAAUAGGGCGACAAGUAGUGCGGAUCAGACCCGAAACCGGGUGAUCUAUCCAUGAGCAGGUUGAAGCAAGGGUAAAACCUUGUGGAGGACCGAACCAAUAACGGCUGAAAACGUUUUGGAUGACUUGUGGAUAGGGGUGAAAGGCCAAUCAAACCCGGUGAUAGCUGGUUCUCCCCGAAAUAUAUUGAGGUAUAGCCUCGUGGAUUGUCUAUUGGAGGUAAAGCACUGACAGAGCUAGGGGUCCUACCAGAUUACCAAACUCUUUCAAACUCAGAAUGCCAAUCAGAUGUACCACGGGAGUCAGACGGCGGGUGCUAAGGUUCGUCGUCGAGAGGGUAAGAGCCCAGAUCAACAGCUAAGGCCUCCAAAUCUAUGCUCAGUGGUGAAGGUGGUGACGUUGUAGAGACACCCAGGACGUUGGCUUAGAAGCAGCCAUCGUUUAAAGAAAGCGUAAUAGCUCACUGGUCUAAUGACGUUGCGCCGAAAAUGUAACGGGGCUAAGCAUAGUGCCGAAGCUUUGAAUUCCGCGUAUGCGGUCUGGUAGGGGAGCGUUCUUCAUGGGCUGAAGGCGUGUUGUAAAGCACGUUGGACUGUGGAGAAGUGAUUAUGCUGACAUGAGUAACGAUAAAACGGGUGAAAAACCCGUUCGCCGUAAACCCAAGGUUUCCUGGGUAAAGGUAAUCUUCCCAGGGUUAGUCGGCCCCUAAGGCGAGGCUGAAAGGCGUAGCUGAUGGGAAACGAGUUAAUAUUCUCGUACUUGUGUGUCCGCGCGAUGGAGGGACGCAGGAAGGUAAACGGUCCGGGUGUUGGUAUACCCGGUGCAAGCAGGUAGGCGUGCAGCACAGGCAAAUCCGUGCUGCUCUACGCUGAGACGCGAGUCCGUGGCCGCAAGGCCUGAAGCCGUUGAGCCUCUACUGCCUAGAAAAGCUCCUAAGUAUAGGAUACGCAAACCGUACUGCAAACCAACUCAGGUGGGUGGGAUGAAUAAUCCAAGGCGCUCGAGAGAACUCUGGCCAAGGAACUCGGCAAAAUAACCCCGUACCUUCGGAAGAAGGGGUGCUCUUUUGGGUAAAGUUGAUUCACUUAACCAGCCCGAGGGAGCCGCAGAGAAAUGGUGGUGGCGACUGUUUACUAAAAACAUAGGUCUGUGCCAAGUCGUAAAGACGACGUAUACGGACUGACGCCUGCCCGGUGCCGGAAGGUUAAAAGGAGGGGUCAGCGCAAGCGAAGCUCCGAAUUGAAGCCCCGGUAAACGGCGGCCGUAACUAUAACGGUCCUAAGGUAGCGAAAUUCCUUGUCGGGUAAGUUCCGACCUGCACGAAUGGCGUAACGAUCUCCACACUGUCUCGGCCAGAGACUCGGUGAAAUUGAAGUCGCGGUGAAAAUGCCGUGUACCCGCAGAAAGACGGAAAGACCCUGUGCACCUUUACUAUAGCUUGACAUUGGGAUUUGGACCAGCAUGUGUAGGAUAGGUGGGAGACUGUGAACCCUGUACGCUAGUAUGGGGGGAGUCAUUGUUGAAAUACCACCCUUGUUUUUUCAGGUCCCUAACCCUCUACCGUGAUCCGGUGAGGGAACAGUGUCUGGUGGGUAGUUUGACUGGGGCGGUCGCCUCCUAAAGAGUAACGGAGGC